rnacentral:rRNA from 1 species
GAUGAACGCUGGCGGCGUGCUUAACACAUGCAAGUCGAACGGUGAAGCAGGAGCUUGCUCUUGUGGAUCAGUGGCGAACGGGUGAGUAACACGUGAGCAACCUGCCCCUGACUCUGGGAUAAGCGCUGGAAACGGCGUCUAAUACUGGAUAUGUGAUGUGACCGCAUGGUCUGCAUCUGGAAAGAAUUUCGGUUGGGGAUGGGCUCGCGGCCUAUCAGCUUGUUGGUGAGGUAAUGGCUCACCAAGGCGUCGACGGGUAGCCGGCCGGAGAGGGUGACCGGCCACACUGGGACUGGGACACGGCCCAGACUCCUACGGGAGGCAGCAGUGGGGAAUAUUGCACAAUGGGCGGAAGCCUGAUGCUGCAACGCCGCGUGAGGGAUGACGGCCUUCGGGUUGUAAACCUCUUUUAGCAGGGAAGAAGCGAAAGUGACGGUACCUGCAGAAAAAGCACCGGCUAACUACGUGCCAGCCGCCGCCGUAA